AAAGCCUGAAAACAGAGCCAUGAUGAGGUGCAGAAGUCUAGUUAUCUCUCAGAACACUUGAAUUACAAUAUGAUGAAAGGUUAUUAAUCAAACAUUUCAUUACCCAAACGGACCUAGAAAAAGUCAUCCAUGCAUUCGUCUCAUCCCGAUUAGACUACUGUAAUUCCCUUUAUUCGGGGCUCAGUCAAAAAGCCAUAUCCCAUCUCCAACUUGUUCAAAAUGCCCAUAUCACACCCAUCCUUGCAACACUUCACUGCCUCCCAUUCAGGUAUAUUAUUGAUUUUAAAAUUUGACUAAUUACUUUUAAAGCCCUUCACGGCCUUGCCCCUAACUACAUUUUACAAUUACUCGAGCCCUACGAACUGAGCCGCUGCCUGCGCUCCUCAGGUAGGACCCUCCUCACUGUCACCACAGCCCAUCUUGUUACAAAGGGAGACCGGGCGUUCUCUGUUAGAGCCCCACAGCUGUGGAACUCCCUUUCGGAGGAACUCAGGCUAGAAAACUCUUUUUCUUCUUUUAAAUCACACCUCAAAACCUACCUUUACAGGAAGGCCUUUUUAUAGCAAUCCCUUGUUUUAAAUUUCAUUACUGUUGACUUUUUGUACAAAAGUCUUAUGUUCAACAUUUUAAAAAUUCCCGAAGCCAGAAUUUAAAUCCAUCGCGGACUUUUAGAGUAAUCCUCCAAACGGACAAACCAACGCCAGUGAAAACAUAACCUCCUUCCUAGGCCUUUGGCCUUGGCGGAGGUAAAAAUAAGCAAAAAAUGCACAGCUCUGUUGUGGACUUUGUUUUUCCAUUUGAAAAGUUUGUCAUUUGUUAUUUGAUAUUUGUUUUUGAUAUUAUAUACUAUCUUAUUUUAAUCAUCUUCAGUUGA